UUCCUAUUUCCUGUGAGAAGGGUUUCCAAAUGAGCCUUUGGCAAUAUUUCUGAACAAAGUGGGACCCCUGUAGGAAUAAACUGGCUUUGCCUCUCAAAUCUCCAUGGGGCUUAUGAAGCAAAAUGAGUUUAGCAGAGAAAGUAGGUUAAAGCAAGGAGAGGCAGCCUCCUCCCUCGACUGAGCUGAAAAGAAGCAUAAACACCCACCUGAUCCAAUAUAUUUAAGACUCAGUAGUCCUAAAAAAGACCACAGAUCAAGAAGCAUCAACUGACACAAACUUACAAAAGGUGUUCCCUAACUGUUACUUGGAUGAUUUAGCGUUAAUCUGGAUUUACUCUAUAGAAGCAAAUUAAGAAAUCUCAUUUGAUAUAAUGUUAAUCUUUGAAAGUAAUGUGGCUUUUGGAUAUGAACGCUUUCUUUGUGUGUGUGUGUGUGUGUGUGUGUGUGUUCCUGCCAGUAUAUUUUAGUAAGGAUUAGAGGGUUUGUGAUUUUGUUGUGGUUUUUUUCCAAGAAUUGGACCAUAAGUAAGUUGCUUGUAUAAGGAUUAUUACGAAAUACAGUGUUUUGUUAAUUAUUUUUAGAAUUGUUUCUUUUAGACACAGAUUCUUUGGAAAUGAAAAUGUUUUCUUAUUUUUUUCUCUACCUAAUCCAAUAGCUUUUGUUAUUUUCCACCAUGUGAGUUCUUAUCAACAAUAUGGACUUUCCCCCCACCUCCUACCUGUAAUGAAAUCCUGGAAAUCCUUUUUAAAUUCCCUAAUAUAUUGUUACACUGCUUCUGAGCUGCAGUUAUGAAUUACCUUGAUUUAUUUUGACACUGUGAUUAAUUUUGACACUGAGGAGUUUUCGUAGUACCAAAAUUUACCAACAGUAGUUCUGUCACUUAUGUGCUAUUCUCAAUAGUAUCACUGUGUAUCAUUGUGGGAAAUUAAUUUCUGAGAAGUAUCUUAAUCUUUUUUGCUUUUUUCCCCCUUCUUUUUAUAAUGAAACAGUGCCCCCAAGAGCUCCUUUUUUUUUUUUUUUUUUUUUUUUUUUUUUUUUUUUUUUAACCAGGAAGGGACAGUUUAAGAAAAUUAAGUCAACCAUUUAUCAGUAUAUUAAUCUCUGAACAUAAAAAUUCUGCCCAGCAUUGCAACCAAAGGUGUUGGUUUGAAGAAUAGUUGAAAGAGUGUUUUGGUUUUCUUGUUUUAUGCCCAAUAAUAGAAAGUUAACCAAAUGACUGAAUUCCUCUAAUGGUUCCAGUUUGGAGAGCUGUGCUAUCUUUGCUGGCACUCUGAAGAAAGGGAGGAGGCUGCAGAGAUCAACUUCUCAGCAAAGGUCUUUAUGGCAGGGCUGCUUUUGUCCUUUGCCAGUUGACAUCAGGACAGCUGGCAGUGGUCUGGGAGGCAGCAGGAAGCACUGUUUGUUUGUUUGUUUGUGUGUGGAUAAACAGAGAAGAAAGAUAGCGUGAAGUGAACAAGAACAAAGAGAGAAUAAACAAGGAACAGCUUUAGUUACAGCAGUCAUAAAAAUACAAACACCAAGGCUAGUAGGUAUUUUGCUAAAAUAAAGGAAAUAUAUGCAAAAAUAAUCCUGAAUAGCCUCUAAAACUGAGAGGCAGGUUUUUAUGACAACCUGAAGUGAUAAAUUUUUUUAAACAUUUUUUAAGGGUCAAGAGUCAUCACUACUUUCUCUGACCCUGAAAACCAUCUACUACAAACAGAAUUUUGGGUAGUUUGUUGUCUUUCUCUCCAUCUCAUUGCAUGGGUUUGCCAGAAGUUGAAACUCAUAAAUGAAAUAAAAACCCCAGCUAUGAGCAUAUAUUUGCUUUAAAUAACUUUCAGUAACCUGUCACAGGAACACCUCAGGACUUCAUGUGCAACAGAAGUUUAAAUAGUAGGCAUGGUGUCCCCAAAAAAGCCUGCUAAUAUCUCUCUUUAACAGAGUAACUUUAUUUUCUCUGGUGUAUUUCUACAGACCCUUUUCAGCCAGGUCCUAGGCCCCUGAGAGAUCUAGGGAUGGAAGUCAGCAUUUUGAACUCUCCGAUAUGCAGAGCUUUUCAGACUGGUAAAUAAGUGUGAGAGCCUUGUGUUGUGAUGAGAUCUGUGCCAGAGCAGGAAUGCAGUAACAAGAGAAUGUUCAGAUCAAGCAGGCAGCUGCUCAGCAUUCAAAAUCCAACAUUUGCCUUAAAUCUGGAAGUUUGCUCUUUUUAGCUUUGAGCCAGACAAAUAUGAACGUUCAAUAAGUGUAUGGCACACUCACCAAAGACAAAUGGAUGGUUUUAUAAGCGGGAUGGAGUGAAUUUUACAAAAGUGGGAGAAGGUGACCUCUGCUCAGAAGCCUCCCUGCUCAUUAGCAGGUGGAUGUGGUUUAAAGAUUCACUGUGGUGCAAAGAAAGAAUCAAAUUAGGUGUUGUGUGAAGCUGUCAUUACUGUGUGUUUCUCUGUACAGUUCCAGCUUAAAGCAUGUCGUUCCUUUCAUAGCAGCCCCUCAGAUUACUGUAUCUCAUCCCUUCCACAUCAAAGCGCUGUCACCACUUUCACAGUAUAAAAAGAACGCUGAGAUAAUUUUACAAUACAUUCUCUUCAAACAGAUUUGACUUGUGCAGUUGCAACAUUUCUUUUUAUUCUGGGAUUUGCAAAGAAAGAUGCACUAAAAUGAGUAGCAUCUAAAAGCUGAACAAAAACAGUGAACUAAAUACCUGUUUAAAAUUGGACCAAAGCACCUCUGCAGGGAUGGUGAGGAUUUUAGGAAGUCAAUUCUUCUCAAGUGCCAUCUGAAUUAUUCUUCAGUCAGCUUGUAAGAACCUCCGGGAGGGUGGAAAAUGUCCAUUCUUGAAAAGCAUGAAUCAUCUCUUUUUAUUUACUAGCUAAAAAAAGUAUUCAGUAAAAUAUACAGUAAUGUCAGAUCCCACUCUCCACCUCAAAGGCUCAGUCUCAGCUAGGAGCCAGCAGCUGGGCUCACUAUAUUGACCUUACUGCUCUAUGAGAACGUAAAAUAAUAAAAUAAUGAAUACGGGAAGAAAGUGAGUGAAGGCAGCAGAAAGACAGAACUUCAUAGAACUGCCUUUAGCUUUGUGGGUCUUUUUAAAUUCCACUCUGCCAAGAAAUUUUUUUUCUUCUUAGUAAUUAUACAGCUAUGCAUAUAAAAGUGUAAAUGUUUCCCAUUGUAUUUCCUUGCCAUUUUUGUCAUUUGCCAGCAUCUAUAGAAGAGGUUGUCACAGAAGUGCAUAAUGGAAAGAUGGAAAUAGAAAUGAGAAAAGCACUGUGUCCUUGGCUCUUCAUGAAUGCAAAGGGACAAAUACUUUGUAAUAAUGUUCUGUCUUACAGAGAGGUCACAAACUGAUCUUGGUUACUUCGGUGUAAAUCGGGAGAAAUUCGGCUGAGCUCAAUAGACUUACUCAGGCCUGAAACCAAUUAUUGCUCUGGCGUGAGCGAGAUGGAGCCGCGCUCCUCGGCCCGGUUCUGGCACUGCGAU